UACGUAGGGGGCAAGCGUUGUCCGGAUUCAUUGGGCGUAAAGAGCGCGCAGGCGGUCGUGCAAGUCGCGUGUGAAAGCCCCCGGCUCAACUGGGGAGGGUCACGCGAUACUGUUCGACUCGAAGGCAGGAGAGGGAAGCGGAAUUCCCGGUGUAGUGGUGAAAUGCGUAGAUAUCUGGAGGAAUACCGGUGGCGAAGGCGGCAUCCUGGACCGAGAUUGACACUGAUGAGCGAAAGCUAGGGGAGCAAACGGG
rnacentral:rRNA from 1 species